UACGGGGGGGGCUAGCGUUGUUCGGAAUUACUGGGCGUAAAGGGCUCGUAGGCGGCCAACUAAGUCGGACGUGAAAUCCCCAGGCUCAACCUGGGAACUGCGUCCGAUACUGGAUGGCUUGAAUCCGGGAGAGGGAUGCAGAAUUCCAGGUGUAGCGGUGAAAUGCGUAGAUAUCUGGAGGAAUACCGGUGGCGAAGGCGGCAUCCUGGACCGGAAUUGACGCUGAGGUGCGAAAGCGUGGGGAGCGAACAGG
rnacentral:rRNA from 1 species